AGAACGAACGCUGGCGGCAGGCUUAACACAUGCAAGUCGAACGCAUCCUUCGGGGUGAGUGGCAGACGGGUGAGUAACACGUGGGAACGUACCCUUUGGUCUGGAAUAACCCUGGGAAACUAGGGCUAAUACCGGAUACGUCCGAGAGGAGAAAGGUUUACUGCCGGAGGAGCGGCCCGCGUCCGAUUAGCUUGUUGGUGAGGUAAUGGCUCACCAAGGCUUCGAUCGGUAGCUGGUCUGAGAGGAUGACCAGCCACAUUGGGACUGAGACACGGCCCAAACUCCUACGGGAGGCAGCAGUGGGGAAUAUUGGACAAUGGGCGCAAGCCUGAUCCAGCCAUGCCGCGUGAGUGAUGAAGGCCUUAGGGUUGUAAAGCUCUUUACCUGGGAAGAUCAUGACGGUACCAGGAGAAUAAGCCCCGGCUAACUUCGUGCCAGCAGCCGC
rnacentral:rRNA from 1 species